GAUUAGAGUUUGAUCCUGGCUCAGGAUCAACGCUGGCGGCGUGCAUGAGACAUGCAAGUCGAACGGACCCUUACGGGCUUGCCUGUAAGGGUUAGUGGCGGACGGCUGAGUAACGCGUAGGUGACCUGCCCCGAAGUGGGGAAUAACUGCCCGAAAGGGUGGCUAAUACCGCAUGUGGUGGUGCGUUCGAUCGCACCAGUAAAGCCGCAAGGCGCUUCGGGAGGGGCCUGCGUCCGAUUAGCUCGUUGGUGGGGUAACGGCUCACCAAGGCGACGAUCGGUAGGUGGUCUGAGAGGACGAUCACCCAGACUGGGACUGAGACACGGCCCAGACUCCUACGGGAGGCAGCAGUCGGGAAUUUUGCGCAAUGGACGAAAGUCUGACGCAGCAACGCCGCGUGAGGGAUGACGGCCUUCGGGUUGUAAACCUCUUUUGUCAGGGACGAUUAUGACGGUACCUACGAAUAGCC
rnacentral:rRNA from 1 species